rnacentral:rRNA from 1 species
UCCUGGCUCAGGAUGAACGCUGGCGGCGUGCCUAAUACAUGCAAGUUGUGCGGUAACAGAGAGAGCUUGCUCUCUGCUGACGAGCGGCGGACGGCAGAGUAACGCGUAGGAACAUACCCCAAACUGAGGGAUAACUGCUCGAAAGAGUAGCUAAUACCGCAUGUGGUCUUCGGAUUAAAGCUUCGGCGGUUUGGGAGUGGCCUGCGUCCGAUUAGCUAGUUGGUGAGGUAAUUGCUCACCAAGGCGACGAUCGGUAGCUGGUCUGAGAGGAUGAUCAGCCUGACUGGAACUGAGAACGGUCCAGACUCCUACGGGAGGCAGCAGUAGGGAAUUUUCCACAAUGGGCGAAAGCCUGAUGGAGCAACGCCGCGUGCAGGAUGAAUGCCUUCGGGUUGUAAACUGCUUUCUGUGUGAAGAAUAUGACGGUAACACAGGAAUAAGGGUCGGCUAACUACGUG